CAAGGAGUCUAACAUGUGCGCGAGUCAUUGGGUUGACACUAAACCUAAAGGCGCAAUGAAAGUGAAGGUCCCGCCUCGUGCGGACCGAGGGAAGAUGGGCCGCGCUGCUGUGCGGCUCCGCAUUCCCGGGGCGUCUCGUUCUCAUUGCGAGUUGAGGCGCACCCAGAGCGUACACGUUGGGACCCGAAAGAUGGUGAACUAUGCCUGGCCAGGACGAAGUCAGGGGAAACCCUGAUGGAGGUCCGUAGCGAUUCUGACGUGCAAAUCGAUCGUCGGAGCUGGGUAUAGGGGCGAAAGACUAAUCGAACCAUCUAGUAGCUGGUUCCCUCCGAAGUUUCCCUCAGGAUAGCUGGUGCUCGAACGAGUCUCAUCCGGUCAAGCGAAUGAUUAGAGGCCUUGGGGCCGAAACGACCUCAACCUAUUCUCAAACUUUAAAUGGGUGAGAUCUCCGGCUUGCUUAAAACAUUUUUGAAGCCGCGAGAUUA
rnacentral:rRNA from 1 species